rnacentral:rRNA from 1 species
GACGAACGCUGGCGGCGUGCCUAAUACAUGCAAGUCGAGCGCAGGAAACUGACGGAACUCUUCGGAGGGAAGGCAGCGGAAUGAGCGGCGGACGGGUGAGUAACACGUAAGGAACCUGCCUCAAGGAUUGGGAUAACUCCGAGAAAUCGGAGCUAAUACCGGAUAGUUCAUCGGACCGCAUGGUCCGUUGAUGAAAGGCGCUCCGGCGUCACCUUGAGAUGGCCUUGCGGUGCAUUAGCUAGUUGGUGGGUAACGGCCCACCAAGGCGACGAUGCAUAGCCGACCUGAGAGGGUGAUCGGCCACACUGGGACUGAGACACGGCCCAGACUCCUACGGGAGGCAGCAGUAGGGAAUCUUCCACAAUGGACGAAAGUCUGAUGGAGCAACGCCGCGUGAGUGAUGAAGGUUUUCGGAUCGUAAAACUCUGUUGUAAGGGAAGAACACGUACGAGAGGAAUGCUCGUACCUUGACGGUACCUUACGAGAAAGCCACGGC